AGAUUGCGACAGGCGCUGGAACCGCGGGGAACUCGGGGAGCGAGUGGUGAGAACAGUGAGCACCAGCACUCCGAUGGCACUGGCGAGAGGAAAGGCUGCGAAGCGCAGAGCGAGGCUGCGGGGCCCCAGGAUGGGGGACAGGAGGCUGCGGGGCCUCAGGACUUGCACCUUCAAGAUCCCCUGUGUUUACCCAGCUGGAGGAUGAUGAACAGUCAUGGGUGCCCAGCUGGGUGGAUGUGACUCCAGUCAGCAGAGCAGAAGCCAGGAGAGGUUUUGGUCUUGAUGGUUUGUGUAGAGUGGAGGAUGAGAGAGCCCAUCCUGAGCAUCUAAAGAGCUACAGAGUCAUCCAGCACCAGGACACUCAUAGUGAGGGGAAACCAAGAAGGCACACUGAGCAUGGGGCAGCCUUCCCACCUGGUUCCAGUUGUGGGCAACAGCAAGAAGUCCAUGUGGCAGAGAAGCUGUUCAAAUGCAGUGACUGUGGGAAGGUGUUCUUAAAGGCCUUUGCCCUCCUUGACCAUCUGAUAACGCAUUCUGAAGAGAGACCCUUCAGAUGCCCAACAGGCAGAAGUGCUUUCAAGAAGAAGUCAGCUC
rnacentral:sRNA from 1 species